GUAGGUGAACCUGCGGAAGGAUCAUUAACUAUAUAAAGGCCGUGGGGCAAGUUCUCCGAAAGGACAGCUAAGUGGAUGUCCGGUUCUACUAGCUGGGGCGCGAUGGUCCCUGUGUUUCACAGGACGCCUACCGCUGAUCGAGCUUGCUUUCUAUCCUACCCUUGCUUUUUGCGCACCCAUUGUUUCCUCGGCAGGCUUGCCUGCCAGUAGGACCCUCUUAAACCCUUUGUAAUUGCAAUCAGCGUCAGAA
rnacentral:misc_RNA from 1 species